rnacentral:rRNA from 1 species
GACAGAGGGUGCAAACGUUGUUCGGAAUUACUGGGCGUAAAGCGUGUGUAGGUGGCCAACUAAGUCAGACGUGAAAUCCCUCGGCUUAACCGGGGAACUGCGUCUGAUACUGGAUGGCUCGAGUUUGGGAGAGGGAUGCGGAAUUCCAGGUGUAGCGGUGAAAUGCGUAGAUAUCAGGAAGAACACCUAUGGCGAAGGCAGCUCUCUGGGACGGUACUGACGCUGAGACGCGAAAGCGUGGGGAGCGAACAGG